rnacentral:rRNA from 1 species
AACGAACGCUGGCGGCAUGCCUAACACAUGCAAGUCGAACGAGACCUUCGUGUCUAGUUGCGCACGGGUGCGUAACGCGUGGGAACCUGCCCUUAGGUUCGGAAUAACUCCCCGAAAUGGGUGCUAAUACCGGAUAAUGUCUUCGGACCACAGAUUUAUCGCCUUUGGAUGGGCCCGCGUUGGAUUAGCUAGUUGGUAGGGUAAAAGCCUACCAAGGCGACGAUCCAUAGCUGGUCUGAGAGGAUGAUCAGCCACACUGGGACUGAGAAACGGCCCAGAAUACUACGGGAAGCAGCAGUGGGGAAUAUUGGAAAAUGGGCGAAAGCCUGAUCCAGCAAUGCCGCGUGAGUGAUGAAGGCCUUAGGGUAGUAAAGCUCUUUUACACGGGAUGAUAAUGACAGUACCGGGAGAAUAAGCUCCGGCUAACUCCGUG